UGCAGAGCCAAGAAAAAUCCAAGGGGGUUUGGGGAAAGCAGUUAAAUAUCACAGCUUUAUCCUGGGGGGAUACCAGAGCUAUAUCCAGGGGGUAUUGAGGGAAUGUAUUUUUUUUCAGGAGAGGGGGGGGGGCUAGGUAUCUGAAUUUCUUUACUAUUCUAAUUAUAAGGUUUUGCAGACAGAGAAUCAGAGAAUUGAUUCAGUAUUAUUCUAUUGUCUAGUAAACAAACUAGAUUUGUAAGUCUUGUAGUUUUUUUUCUUUUUUUAAAAGUUCUUGCAUGGGUCAGAACAAAAAAUAAGCCAUCUUGAAUAACAGUGAUACCACUAUAACCACAAUGCAAAGCGCCACGAAGACGUGAUCUUCUUAAGUGUAAUUUGAGUUGCGAGCAUGCUGUAAGGCUGCUGCAUUCCAGCUACGCGUUUUUCAUACGUGUGUACACGCACGUAAAAGUUGAAAUUGCAUUACAUCCUACUUGUGAAAUAAUUAAAUUUAUAAAAGGACAGCAUUCAGUUUUGUGUAC